rnacentral:lncRNA from 1 species
AUGAAUUUACUUAAUUUAAGAGUUCCAUUAGUUGUUUUUAUAAUUUUUACCAACUUUCAUUUAUGUAUCGGUGAAUAGUGUGAUAUUCUUACUAGGCUAGUGUAGUUCACCAUUUCAUUAACUAUUUAAGAUUAAGAGGAACAAGAUCCAGAUUUUGAUCUCCCAGACUCCCUUUAAAGGCAAGUGAAUGUCGUCCUAGGAUACCUAAUUAUUUACUUUUCAUUUAUUUCUUGAUUUUUCGCUCAUUCUUUUAGAAUGGUCAUUUUUGU